rnacentral:lncRNA from 1 species
AGACGAUUGGUAGAAUAGUCUAGCUCAGUAUGAGGAAGCACCAUGGACAUAUGAAAUGGGAGGACCAAUAAUAUUAUAUCGCCAUUUACAUAUUAAAAAUAGUAUAUAUGCCCGUGGGUUAGAAUGGUAGAAAUAAUUGACAUAAAUUUAGUGAGGAUUGUAUGUGCAAACAUAAUGUUCAAUGUACUACAAAUUUGGCGCAAAUUUAGUAAAGAUUAUAAGAGCAAGGAAAACAUAAUGGAAGAAAAAAUGACAUGAAUUUAGUGAGGAUUAAAAAAUGCCACAUCAUUUUUACUAAUAAGAUGGCAUGGCAACCUGCCAUUGAUUCCCGCACGUCUUGUUAAUUACCUUUUCUUUCUCUUUCUUUCCUUAUAUCAUGAUGCCCACAUAAUUACCGUCCAUUUCCUUCCUCGCUCUUUCUCCUUCCUUCUUUAUUUCUCAUGCAAUUUUUCCCUUUUUCUAGGCCUGCUAGUUACUCCUGCGAUUAAUAUGUCGCCCACAUAAUUACCAACAAUUUCCUACUUCUUUAUUUCUGAUUCAAUAGAUACUACCUUUCUUGUCGGCUCCACAUAAUUACCAUCUUCCUUCUUUAUUUCUCAUGUAAAGAAUGUCUAUUUCCUUUCUUUAUUUCUUCGCUUAAUUUCCAAAGCAGCUUCUUGAUGCCUGACAACCUAAGAAACGUAUAUAAACUGCUAAAAAUUAAUGUAAAAUAGCAAGGUGGGACUAUUUGAUAAGUAAACAAAUAUGAAAACAACUUCCAGCCUGGUCCCUUGUCCAUCUAGUGGGCAAAACAAUUUCCAGCCUGGUCCCUUGUCCGUCCAGUGGGCCGCAACACUCGUACAUGCCCAUCACGACCGUGCCCAUUGAUCUCGGCCUGAGUACGCCUGUCCUUUAUUCUUAAGGUUCCAGCCGCCCAAAUUAGCAAGCUCAGGAUCCUAGCCUGAGUGGUC